AUUUCACUUGCAAACAUUUGUUUUAAUUGUGAAAAUGUGUGCGCCGCGUAUUAAAAAUUAAAGCUGAAGAAAACAUUUGCCGCCCUAAGUUUUUUUAAAAAUACAUUAAAACAAUAUGCUUAAAACAGUUCUACUUCUCUAUGCCAUAACUCAGGCGUACCUCUGCCUUGGUGUUCAGGGCAAAAGUUUCUUUGGUGUUGGUCAUCGCAUUGAUGGCGAUCAGUUGUUGCUCAAGGACGAACAGCAUUCACGUCCUGGCAGCAGCACUGAGCAACCCCGUGUAGUCUUCAACUAUGAAAUAGCCGAGCCAAUUAACUACAUCGAAAUCACGUCGGAGGAAAAUAUUCUGGCCGAGGUGAAGUUCAGUUAUGUUAAUGAACUGGUGGUGGGCAUGGUGACGGUUGUUCCCAGCAAUAACCACAGCCAGCCAGCGGCCUUUGUUGUGAGGAUUUCAAUUUAUGGCUUCAAUGACACCAUUCUGAAUAUGAAUCCUGCACUCUUCCUCAACCGUGACAAGCAAUUCGAGGGCUAUAUGAACUCAGAUGAUGACACCGAGUAUGCUGCAAACAGUGGCGAACUAGUUGAAGCCUACGCCAAUUCUGGCAGUGAUGUACUGGAAGUGGACAUCGACGAGGAUGAUAAUGAGGAUACGACAACUGAUGCGAGUGGGGAGUUUGAGGCAAAUGAUAAGAUCAUAGAGGUGGGCAAGCGACAGAACGGUGACAAAUUGAUAUUCAAAACCUUCCAAACCUCUGAAAAUGAGGAUAAUGCUAUUAACCAUACGGUCACUUUUUAUUACGUGGAUAGUGAUUACAUAACCUACAUCAAGUUUGUCAUAUUCGAUCACUUUGAAACGAAGCACAGCACAGCAGUGGACUAUAAGCCGCCUUUGGCGGAAUAUACGCACUUCUCGCCAAACACGCUUAAGGCCGUCAUCACGGAUUCGAGCUCGGUGUUCGCGAAGAUGUACGUUUACGGUUAUCCCGCAAAGGAGGUGCCAAAGAGCUAUCAGGCCUUUCUGCCACCACCGCAUUGGCAACGUGCCCUGACCCCAGGUGAGCAGCCGCCGCUCACACCACUGCAACGGAUUCAGUUGCUCCUGCUCACGGGCAAGACAACGAAGGCGCCUACAUCGGGGGAGCACGAUGACGACGAUGAUGAGGACGAUGGCGAACCGGCUACAAUUAGUGCGCGUGACAUGGAGGCUGAUCACGAUUUGGAGUCGAUGCAGACACGUGCGAGCGAUGCGGCACUGGAGCAACUCGAUCAGCGUCUGUGGACAUUUAUAGGCAUGUUGCUGCUCUUGUUGCACAAUUGAAGAGCGGGGAGAGCGGUACUCUGCAUAUUGUGUAUAUGUGUUGAUGCAAGUUAAUCCAUUGAAAGCUUUAUCUGUACUCCCAAAACACAGAUACCACUGACGGCAAGAGAGGGUAGAGGGGUAGGAGCGGCAUACACUUCACACUCUUUAGUCGUUGUCCAUAUGAAAUUGAAAAAGUUAUCGAGAAAGUAGGUCAUGGCGCGUUUGACGACAUGCCCAUGUCCGUUAAGUUCGUCCUGCCUGCCCCGUCCUACCAUACCCUGCACUGAGUUUUAGUUCGUGAACAGAACGACCGCAUGGCAUUGAUGGCGACUCCCUUAGCAAAUUAUGUAUGGGUGUGUUUGUGAAUACUUACGCCUGUGUGUGAGUUGGUAAAUUAUCUGUUUUGGUGGUUGCUGUUGUUGUUGUGGGUGGUUGAUUUGGCAGGCAUUGGCCAAAAUGUGCCGUCAUGGGCACAAACAAAAGCAAAAGCGAAAAGAAAAGAACGCUGGAAAGCAAAAAGGACCCAGAAGCCAGAAACUCUGCAGCUGACGACACCAAGGCUCUUCUCGUUGCCUUCCACAUACACGUACAUGUAGUAUAUAUCUGUAAGUGCGUGUGUGUGUGUGGAUAAAUGCGUAUCGUGGUGUUUAUUUGCUGCCAUGAUGUUGUUAUUGUUGCUGUUAUUGCUGCUAUUUUGCUAGAGUAGCACAAACGUGCCUUUUUCUACAGACCUUAUACGAUAUGCGCCGCCGCCUUACGUCGCACAAAAAUGUAGAAAUUUAAAUCAAAAUAACUGGCAGACAGCAGCAACAACAAGGACAACAGCUGAGCAAGUGAUUUAUGUUAACAGGCACACAAACUCUCACACAAAUGUACGUAUGCACGCUCUUUAAGCAAACAAAUUAAUUAAAACAACGAAGAAGUUGAAAUCACAGCAAAGUUUGCCAUGAAACUAAAUCUGUUUGAAAACCAAAAAGUUCUCUUUUCAUCUGCUGAUCAAAAAUGUGUAAUCUUUAUUUAAAAUCUAAUAAAAGGAACUUUUAAUUGAUGAAUGAAAUCGUUGCAAAUGUGAGAAACCUCAUCACCUGUUGGUAUGAAAAGUUAAAUUGUAAAUACAAAGAUGCUUCAAAGCGUUAAAAUAUCAAUUAAAUACAUCAAAUAACUUCAGAAAUGACAGAUGUUUGCAAAGUAAUGGUAAUGCUCAACUGAAACAAAACGUGUAUAAAAAGUCUCUGCUUGUAAAUAUUAUAUUAUGAAAUAUUUCCACAAUAUUCUAUUGUAAAGCUGUUGUAUGUUAUUGUUGGAUAUUACAAGUACGUUUGUUUUGCCUUUUAAUUAAAACCAACACGGCCACACUAACUUAAACCUAUAAGUAAGAAAGAUAUGUAGGACACGCAGAACGAAUUAAGGCAACUAUGAAUAAAGUAAUAAAACAUAAUACACAGCGGCCUAUUUCGGCGACUAAAAUACCCAUUUAAGAUUAGUACUGUAUUACUACAUUUUUUAAUAAAAAUUUAUGUUUUUUUUGCGUUU